rnacentral:rRNA from 1 species
GACGAACGCUGGCGGCGUGCUUAACACAUGCAAGUCGAACGGAAAGGCCCUGCCUUUGUGGGGUGCUCGAGUGGCGAACGGGUGACUAACACGUGAGUAACCUGCCCUUGACUUUGGGAUAACUUCAUGAAACUGGGGCUAAUACCGGAUAGGAGCUCCUGCUGCAGGGUGGGGGUUGGAAAGUUUCGGCGGUUGGGGAUGGACUCGCGGCUUAUCAGCUUGUUGGUGGGGUAGUGGCUAACCAAGGGUUUGACGGGUAGCAGGCCUGAGAGGGUGACCGGACAAAUUGGGAUGGGGAUACGACCCGGACUAGAAUGGGAGGCAGCGGAGGGGAAUAUAGCACAGGGGGCGGAGGCAAAAUCGAGCAACGCAGCGUGGGGGAUGACGGCCUUCGGGUUGUAAACCAAUUUCGCCUGAGCCGAGGCGUUAGUGACGGUAAUGGGUGAAGAAGCACCGGCUAACUACGUG